GUGCGGGAGGGAAGCAGGAAGUGACUGCGGGAGUGGAGCCGGCGAGAGAGUGGCAGCGGGGGCUGAUGGAAGUGCAGUGGGGGCUGGAGAGGGCACCCUAGCGGUGUGUGGGGGUACCCGGGAUUCCUGGGAGCAGAGGCAGCUACAAAUCCAGCUGCUCCCAGGCCCCUCCCACUUGCUCUGGCUGUUAGCUGGACCUCUGGAACUUGACUGGGAAUCUGGUUAACUUGCAGCAGGUCUGGGUGGGGCGUGACAGUGUGCAUUUCUAACUAAUUCCCAGGUUGGGUGGUCCGCGGACCACGCUUUGAGUAGCGAGGCAUUAGAGAACUUUUCCACAGUCCUCUCCGCCCAGACCUGAAUCCUUCUGCUGGAUUCCCCCUCGUGGAGUUAGGGCAUGUGUGUGCAGCUCCACUAAGGCCCAGCAGCCCUAGUGCUGUUUCCACUUCUGCAACUUCACCAGCCUCUUGAACUGACUCUUGGAAGCGGAACAACAGGUUUAAAAGGGGGAGAAAGGAAAUAAAGAAAACAAACCUGUAUCAAUCAGCCGGGAAUGCCCAU
rnacentral:lncRNA from 10 species